ensembl:lincRNA
CUUUCUUAUUAAACAUGUGACUCUAGCUUUGCCACCUCUCUCUCAUUGAGUAGUCUAUUUCCCCCGUCUUGAAUCUGGGCUGGGUUUGUGACCUCUCUGAUUAAUGGAAUGUGGUGGAAGUGAUGCUGUAUGACUUCCAAACCUUUACCUGAAAAGAUCUUCUACCUUCUACCCUUGCUGCCUUGGAACCUGGGACCACCAUGCUGUGAAGACUCCAGGGACAUGAGGCCAUGUGGAGAGAGUCCCAACCAUUACAACCAUCCCAGCCAUUCAGCCUGAUCCCCCACACUGAGUCUGUUAUUGGUGUUCUUGUACUCUCCCAGGAUAGAAAUCAAGAGAGAUCACCAGCCACAGCAGCAAAGAAAAAGAGAAAGCUUCAUUUAGCUGGUGCGCAGGGAAAGGCAGCACCAUGGAAGUAGUUAACAGUUCUGCAGAACAUUUUAGAAAUGGUAACAUAAGUAUAAACAACAAAACAGUGAGAUUCUGAUACCAACUUCCAGUUCCUCCUCACCAAGACUUUGUGAAAACUCUUCAGCUCAUCUGGCAAAACGAACAGGUUAUGUUCUGGUUCCUUCUGGAUGUUCUUUUUAAUAUCUCACACUUUUCCAGGCUUUUG